GAUGAACGCUGGCGGCGUGCCUAAUACAUGCAAGUCGAGCGAAUGGAUUAAGAGCUUGCUCUUAUGAAGUUAGCGGCGGACGGGUGAGUAACACGUGGGUAACCUGCCCAUAAGACUGGGAUAACUCCGGGAAACCGGGGCUAAUACCGGAUAACAUUUUGAACCGCAUGGUUCGAAAUUGAAAGGCGGCUUCGGCUUUCACUUAUGGAUGGACCCGCGUCGCAUUAGCUAGUUGGUGAGGUAACGGCUCACCAAGGCAACGAUGCGUAGCCGACCUGAGAGGGUGAUCGGCCACAUUGGGACUGAGACACGGCCCAGACUCCUACGGGAGGCAGCAGUAGGGAAUCCUCCGCAAUGGACGAAAGUCUGACGGAGCAACGCCGCGUGAGUGAUGAAGGCUUUCGGGUCGUAAAACUCUGUUGUUAGGGAAGAACAAGUGCUAGUUGAAUAAGCUGGCACCUUGACGGUACCUAACCAGAAAGCCACGGCUAACUACGUGCCAGCAGCCGCAGUAA
rnacentral:rRNA from 1 species